CGAUAACAUCAGCAUUUUGACCCGCUGGGUGUCACUUUAUUUAGUUCUGUUAGUUGCCAUGGUUCAGUGUGUGGGAGACAAGCUAACAGAGGUAAACAGACACACGUGGACUUCUUCUUCCCAAAAUUGGGUUAGGCUUCUCUGAGCUCGUCUUCCGUUGCGCCACCUAUGGGUUUGGCGGUGAAUUUUUUUCUACGUACAGUGGUCGGACUAGUAAAAAUCAAAAAGACUCUUCGCCCACUCGUGGAGCCCUCUCUGAGAAACGGUUACGUAGAAGCAUACUGGAGCCUUAAGGUUUUAAGUGUUGUGUGUGAAUGAGUCUGGCUUCAUACGUGUACAUCCAAGGUAACUCUGGGUAAUGGGCCCGUCCUGAGGGCACACGCCCCCCCCUGUCUCCCUUCCUUACUCACUAACAUCGUGUCAACAUCAGCUUCACCUCCGACGGCUUCGGCAACAACAAAGGCUUCAGCUUGCACUUCAGGACCAGAGGAAAGGUCUGUCAAGCAGAGGUCACCUCCCACUCCACUGCAUGAAAGCGCCCAUGGAUGUGCAGGCAGGAUUUUGGGAGGUCAAAAUGCAAACCUGGGAGAAAUACCUUGGCAACUUCUCAUAAAAAAAACAUCUAGAGGAGGAGCAACACUGAUCAAUGACCGAUGGGCCGUCACAGCGGCUCAUCUCGUGGAGACGUUGGUGGAAACCUCUUUGAGUCUGUAUGGUGGAUUGGUGGAUGGAAGCAGAACCUCAGAUGCAUCGUCUGGUGUGGUGGUCAUGGAUAGCGAGAGGAUCAUCAUUCAUCCUGGCUACACCAGGGGUGUUUCUCCUCUGGGACGCAUCAAUUAUGACAAUGAUAUUGCUCUGAUCAGAUUGACCUCCAGGGUGAAUUUUGGCCCAAACCUCCUUCCCAUAUGUCUGCCGGAGGUCAGAAUACACCUCGCACGCCAAAUGGCAUUCCCAUGACCUUCACUGAGAACAUGUUGUGUGCUGGAGCAGAAGGGAAGGACAGCUGCCAGAAAGACAGCGGGAGUCCGUUUGUAAUACCAACGUUGUCUGCAGGAACAGGGCCGUAUCAUCUGGUUGGUAUCGUGUCCUGGGGUCCCCCCUGUGAGGAUAGGGCCUACAAGGCUUAUUAUACCAAAGUAGAGAACUAUAUCAACUGGAUCAAGGAGACAAUCGAUAAGGUGGAGAAUUCUUAGAAAGGGGGAAGAUGCAGGUGGAAACACAAUGCUACGAAUCACAAUACUGUAAUCACAAUUGAUUCAAAUUGCCAAAAUAACAACUUUUGUGAAAAUUAAGUUUGUAACCCUUGUAAUCAAUGUACCAACACUGACAAUCACAAUUACAUUAACACAUUAUAACUUCAGACUUCACUUUUGUAUUAAAGGAAAUGAUGGGAAAUAAACUGCAGAGAAAGUGUUUCAA